rnacentral:tRNA from 1 species
GCCUUGUGGUGUAACGGUAGCACACUUGACAUGUAUUCGAGAAGUCCAGGUUCGAGUCCUGGUGAGGGCA